ensembl:lncRNA
UCUGUACGUUGAAGCCCCGACUGCCAGUACCUCAAAACGUGACCAUAUUUAGAGAUAGGAUCUUUAGAGUGCUGAUAAGCCACGAUGAGAUCAUUAGGGUAACCCCUGAUCUGUUAUGACUGGGAUCUUUUCAAGAAGAGGAAAUUUGGACGCCGACACAUAGGAGGAGGACACUGGGAGAAGCUGGCCACGUGUAAGCCAAGGAGAGAGAACAGGAGCUGAUCCUCCCCUCACAGCUCUCAGAAGAAACCAGCCUGCUGGCAUCUUCAUCUUAGACUUUCAGCCUCCAGAAUGUUUUUCCUGGGAAAAGGAGACAGGGAAGCCAUCUCUGAUAUCUGCAAAUGAAAUUUCACAGAAGUGGACAAUCACCAGUGGCCUGUGCCUGUCUUGACCUCUGACAGGCCCCAUGAAAACCUGAAACCAAGGCAAGGUGACAAAGUCUGGUCCUUCAGCACUAAAGGCCUCCUCGUGUUACUUCUUUACUUAGAAAAAUAAAACAUUA